rnacentral:rRNA from 1 species
CCAGGAGCUUGCUCCUGGGUGAGAGUGGCGAACGGGUGAGUAAUGCGUGACCGACCUGCCCCAUACACCGGAAUAGCUCCUGGAAACGGGUGGUAAUGCCGGAUGCUCCAGUUGAAUGCAUGUCCUUCUGGGAAAGCUUCAUCGGUAUGGGAUGGGGUCGCGUCCUAUCAGCUUGAUGGCGGGGUAACGGCCCACCAUGGCUUCGACGGGUAGCCGGCCUGAGAGGGCGACCGGCCACAUUGGGACUGAGAUACGGCCCAGACUCCUACGGGAGGCAGCAGUGGGGAAUAUUGCACAAUGGGCGCAAGCCUGAUGCAGCGACGCCGCGUGCGGGAUGACGGCCUUCGGGUUGUAAACCGCUUUUGACUGGGAGCAAGCCCUUCGGGGUGAGUGUACCUUUCGAAUAAGCACCGGCUAACUACGUGCCAGCAGCCGCGGUAAUACGUAGGGUGCAAGCGUUAUCCGGAAUUAUUGGGCGUAAAGGGCUCGUAGGCGGUUCGUCGCGUCCGGUGUGAAAGUCCAUCGCUUAACGGUGGAUCCGCGCCGGGUACGGGCGGGCUUGAGUGCGGUAGGGGAGACUGGAAUUCCCGGUGUAACGGUGGAAUGUGUAGAUAUCGGGAAGAACACCAAUGGCGAAGGCAGGUCUCUGGGCCGUCACUGACGCUGAGGAGCGAAAGCGUGGGGAGCGAACAGGAUUAGAUACCCUGGUAGUCCACGCCGUAAACGGUGGAUGCUGGAUGUGGGGACCAUUCCACGGUCUCCGUGUCGGAGCCAACGCGUUAAGCAUCCCGCCUGGGGAGUACGGCCGCAAGGCUAAAACUCAAAGAAAUUGACGGGGGCCCGCACAAGCGGCGGAGC